rnacentral:rRNA from 1 species
GAUCAUGGCUCAGGAUGAACGCUAGCUACAGGCUUAAUACAUGCAAGUCGAGGGGAAACGAUAUUGGAAGCUUGCUUCCGAUAGGCGUCGACCGGCGCACGGGUGAGUAACGCGUAUCCAACCUGCCCACCACUUGGGGAUAACCUUGCGAAAGUAAGACUAAUACCCAAUGAUAUCUCUAGAAGACAUCUGAAAGAGAUUAAAGAUUUAUCGGCGAUGGAUGGGGAUGCGU